UUACAAAAAGCUCGGUGGUUUCACAUGUUUCUGCUAUUAUAAACAAAACACGAUAGUCAGAUGAAUAUAUCUAAAACACGCAAAAAAAAAACUCAUUUCUAGAGUAGGCCUGCUAUACUCUUAUGAGUAUAGACCUCUUUGUACUCAUAAGUUUUCGGUCGUUCAAUAAAAAGAUAUGCGGUUAGGAUGAUAGUGGUCCCCUAGAGUUGAGUGGAUGGUUAAUUGAAUAGUAUGAUCUGAUCUAAUAGGUGAAAAUGGUUAAAGAGGUAGAUCUAACAACAAACUUAUGAGUAUAAAGGGAUCUAUACUAAUAAGAGUAUAGUAGCCGGACUCCUCAUUUCCAAAUCUAAGAGCUGGCGAUUCAUUUUUUUUGUUGAGUGCUGCUGGAGGGAACCAGCAUGUAAAAAACUUCAUUGCUAACUUGUCACACCCCGGGGCCGAUUUUAAAAGCCAUUUUGAAAACAGAGUUGCGGAAAACGUGCCAUUUUUUUUUAUUUUUUUUUUUUUCAACCUGGCCAACGUGACGUACAGACCCGCCACAAAUACAAAGUUCCUCUGUCCACUCGGGUAGAGUCUCCUUUGUAUUUGCACGGCGUACCAACGGAUACAACAGGAUCUCAACCACAACCUACAUUUACCAAUCAACAACCAAAGCAUGAUAUGCAUUUCCAUACAGCCAACAAUCCUUAGAAUGAUGCAUGCCUCUAAGCACUCCUUAGGCGUUGGAUGAUGCAAUGCACAAUACAACAAACAUCCUAUUUAAAAGUGCUCCCCACACGGAAGCUUUUGUUUUUAAACUCUAAUUCAAUCAUUCAUAAAAACCAUUCGAAAACCUUUUUAAAACUGUUUCCCACACGGAAACUCUAUUUUGAAAACCGACUACCUCGAGGGGUAGAAAACCACGAUGCAUAACUACAAGAAAACCAAAUCUCCACAGAACCAAAACCACAGAUCGAAAACUCCAAUCUCAUGUAUAAAAGAAACCAACACCACAGUGCACAUACAUUCAAGCAUACAUAAGAUCAGCUAACUGAACCAUUAUUAAGAAAACUACUAAAUGCGGGAAAGAAAUGACCAGGGUGACGGUCGCUACUGCCGUCUAACUAGAUCGUCCUCUCGUCGAGCCCAAAAUCCAACUCCUCGUCUCUGUCACCUGGGGGGGGGAAAGGGGGGUGAGAAACCGCAACCAUGGUUUUCUCAGUGGGUACGACAGAGCCACGAAGGCAAGUCGUAAUCACCGGAAACCAAAAGAGAUAGAUAAACAAAUAUAUAUCUGUAAGCUGAUAUGAAAUAGAACUACAGUAGCUACAACAGAUAAAUAGGAAGCAAUAAAUGAACCUGCUACUGUAUAGAAAACAAUGCAAAGAAUGCUUCAAUGUACUGAAUCAGAAACUGUACCCAAUCUGUGCCUGCUAUAUUGGUCCGUAGACCUCAAGCGCUGCCUGUCACUAACUGCACCGACCUGAUCCAUCCGCCCCGCAGGACGACCCAUCCGGAUAAGUACACCUUCGAUCGGUGGCCAAACCGAUCCGGUGUCAUGAAUACCCCCAAGUGCCGUGACUAAGUCAUGCUGGUAUGCUCAAACAAAAACAAACCCGGCUAAAGCCGGUGCCUAGGCCGAAGCCAACAACGAGGGUGUACAAUGCCAAACUGAAAUGGAUGCUAGGGCGUACAANUAAUAAUAUUUUAUAAACGGAACUCUAACGGAUUACUAACGGCAGAGGGCGAAAUGAAUAUUUUUUAUUUUACAAGAGGGCAAAGUGUAGUUUUAAAUGAUAGGAAGGGAAAGUAAAAAAUCGGAUUUUGACAUAAGAGUUUUAUAUAAUUUAGCCUAUAUUUUUUUAUACCAAAAAUGCCCUCAACCUUCUCUCCUAUGAACAUGGUGAGCAAAAUGGUGAGGAGCGAAAUAGUCAUUUUAUCAUCACAGUUUACAUUGUAAUCCCCUAUAAAUAUUUUUUGUUUUACAAGGGGGCAAAGUAUAGGUUUUUAAAUGACAGGGGGGAAAAAUGAAAAAUCGAAUUUUUACAGGAAAAUUUUUUGUAAUUUAGCCAAAAAAAUAUAUAAAAAUUUUUAAAAAUAAAGAAGUAAAAUAAAAAAAUAAAUAUUUAGAAAAAGGUUUUAUUGCAAAUGUGUCACGGUCCGCAAGUGAAUUAUGAGGUCAAUUUUUUUAGCAAACUAAGAGGGCCAUGUCCACCAAAAAUAAUUUAAGCUAUUUAAAUAUACUACUGUUUUACAUUUGUCUAUAAAAAUCGUUGGAGCAUGUUACUGCCUUACUCCCCUUCUAUCUUUAGUCUCUAGACAUGCAUACAGAGUUGGAAGAUAAAUCAACCAUUUUUCUCCACUCAUCUACUCUGUCAACACACAGGGAAGCUCCGCUUCCUUCAAAACAUGAAAUUGCACAACUGAACAUUCCAAACAGGCUACUGCAGUUGCGUGCCGCAAAAGCUAUUCGCAAUGCUGUAGCCAACAACUACCAAACGCUACCGAGUGUCUCUAGUACAAGUGGCAAAAAAUUUGGUGGUUGAUGCCUGAGGUCUCAAGUUCGUAUUCUAAUUGAUUUAUAUUUUCAGCUAAUUUUAUUUCUAAAUAAAAUAAAAUAAAUGAAGCAAGUAGCAUGCUAUUUAUCUCUCUUUCAAAAGAAAAAAAAAAAAGAAGCAAUUACAUUACAGUAGAAAAUAGUAGAUGUUUCGACUUUCAAUACAAGCAGCAUCCUCCAGCGCGGGCCGAAGAACAAAUUUUCAUUUAAUGAAAUUAAAUUGCACAAUAUUCAUGUCUACAAACUUAAGGGUGCGUUUGGUUCACGCUAUCUUUUAAAAAUUUCUAGUAAUCUAAUGGAAAUAAAAAAAGAUGACGGUGUUUGACUAAACGCAAUAAGUAAUCUAGUUGAUAAUAUUGGAUUCACUUCGGAAUAAGAUUUAUCCCAAAAUACUAAUCUCAUUCCCUUCAGGGAGGGUGAGUAUCCUCAUAUCCUCAUAUUAAUGGAUUGGGGUAAUCAUAAUAUAUCUAAUCUUUUUCUUUCUUCCUACCCGCCGGAUAAUUGGUAUUAUUUUUCUUUACACUAUAAUCUUAUCUCUCUCUAAACUUUUUUUUUCUCUCUCUAAACUAAGCUCUCUCUCUCUUUCUAAAAUUUCAACUCUCUCACUCCCUCUAAUUUGAACUAUAUUUUUCUUUUUAUUUUUUAAUUAUGCUCUCUUUCUCUAACUUAUACUCUCUCUCCCUUUUUUUUUUUUUAAAGAUGUUGAAAUUUUUAAUAACAUUAUCUAAAAUUAAUUAAAUAAAUAAAGUAAUUAAUUGUAUAUUUUUUGUAAUAUUAAAUAACAUGGCUAAUUAAUAUUACCGUGCGAACCAAAUACAAAAAUUUCACAUUCUUAGUAAUAAGAUGAAUAGGAAUAAAAUUCUCGAAUAUCUUUUAUUCCUAGUAAUCUUUCAUAAUGCAAACCAAACGCACCCUAAAUAGUAACCCUAAAAUUGGGCAAUUUUUUGUAUACCCCUGACUACUCUUUGACUUUUCUCAAAUUUACACUUCAUUUUCCAAAAUACCCUUUAAAAAUCCAAGUCUCUCAAUAAACCCAUAAAAGCAGGAUUAUAUUUGAAAGAAAACUGGCAUAUUUAUAGGAGCGAAUUUGGAAACACAAAGAGCAAUUUUGACAAGCAAAAGUAAAUUAGACAUUUUUCAAAAUUCAAAGAGCAAAUUAGAUAUUAUCCCUAAAACCAUAAACUUUUAGUCACGAAAACACGAUUAUGUGCUGGCCCUGGCCAUACUAAUCCUUAUCUUCAGUACAGGAAUACCCCCCAAACUUGAGAUGCCACUGAAAAUAAUUGGUCAUGAUAUUAUUGCACCAAACGAGCACUUUGGAAUUAAAAAUGAUGGAAUUACAGCCACCGACUUGCAAUCACAUAAAAAUUUGAAGUUUGAACAAAACAUGGACCUACUACCAAUCAGGUUCCCUGAUGUGUGAUUGAUCAGUCCCCACAGUUUAUGCUUUAAGUAUAUUUAUACACAAAUACGUACACACGCAAGUGUACAUGUGCUGUAUGAGUUGACAUAAAUCUCAAGGAUCUUAAACACUAAGCCAUGGCGGAAACACUUUACACAUUUAAGUUUACAAAAAGCUCGGUGGUUUCACAUGUUUCUGCUAUUAUAAACAAAACACGAUAGUCAGAUGAAUAUAUCUAAAACACGCAAAAAAAAAACUCAUUUCUAGAGUAGGCCUGCUAUACUCUUAUGAGUAUAGACCUCUUUGUACUCAUAAGUUUUCGGUCGUUCAAUAAAAAGAUAUGCGGUUAGGAUGAUAGUGGUCCCCUAGAGUUGAGUGGAUGGUUAAUUGAAUAGUAUGAUCUGAUCUAAUAGGUGAAAAUGGUUAAAGAGGUAGAUCUAACAACAAACUUAUGAGUAUAAAGGGAUCUAUACUAAUAAGAGUAUAGUAGCCGGACUCCUCAUUUCCAAAUCUAAGAGCUGGCGAUUCAUUUUUUUUGUUGAG
rnacentral:lncRNA from 1 species